rnacentral:misc_RNA from 1 species
UUUCCGUAGGUGAACCUGCGGAAGGAUCAUUGUCGAAGCCUGCCCAGCAGAACGACCCGCGAACUUGUAUAAGCAACCGGGGGCAGGGGCGAUCUCGCCCCGUGCCCUCGAACGGCAGGGAGACACUCGUGCCUUCUUGUCGAACAACGAACCCCGGCGCGGUCUGCGCCAAGGAACUUCAAUUAAAGAGUGCCUCCGGUCGCCUCGGAAACGAUGCGCGUGUCGGAGGCGAAUCUUGUACAAAACCAUAACGACUCUCGGCAACGGAUAUCUCGGCUCUC